rnacentral:rRNA from 1 species
AAUGAACGUUGGCGGCGUGGAUUAGGCAUGCAAGUCGAGCGGAAAGGCCCGCAAGGGCACUCGAGCGGCGUAAGGGACAGUAAUGUGUAGGUGACGUACCCCUGGGUCUAGGAUAGCUGCGGGAAACUGCAAUUAAUACUAGAUAACGUCUCCGGACCAAAGGUGUGAUUCCACCUGGGGAGCGGCCUACAUCCUAUUAGCUAGUUGGCGAGGUAAUGGCUCACCAAGGCGAAGAUGGGUAGCAGGUGUGAGAGCACGACCUGCGUCACUGGGACAGAGACACUGCCCAGACACCGACGGGUGGCUGCAGUCGAGAAUCUUCGGAAAUGGGCGAAAGCCUGACCGAGCGACGCCGCGUGUGGGAUGAAGGCCUUCGGGUUGUAAACCACUGUCGGAGGGGAGGAAGUGUUAGUGGGUUCUCCCAUUAACUUGACUGAUCCUCGGAGGAAGGGUGGGCUAAGUUCGUGCCAGCAGCCGCCGCCGUAA